GUGUCAGCCGCCGCGGUAAUACAGAGGUCCCAAGCGUUGUUCGGAUUUACUGGGCGUAAAGGGUGCGUAGGCGGCGAGGAAAGUUUGAGGUGAAAUCUCCAGGCUUAACUUGGAAAAUGCCUUGAAGACUUCCUUGCUAGAGGAUCGCAGAGGAGACUGGAAUUCUCGGUGUAGCAGUGAAAUGCGUAGAUAUCGAGAGGAACACCAGUGGCGAAAGCGGGUCUCUGGGCGAUACCUGACGCUGAGGCACGAAAGCCAGGGGAGCAAACGGGAUUAGAAACCCCUGUAGUCC
rnacentral:rRNA from 1 species